rnacentral:misc_RNA from 1 species
AGAGAAAGACGACUUCUAAGACGACGCAAUUGAAGGUUAUGUUCGCUUAGCUGUCAUUAUUUUUAUAAAAAUAAACCUAAGCAAAGUAGAGUCUCGUAGCUCAGCUGGUUAGAGCGCUACACUGAUAAUGUAGAGGUCGGCAGUUCGAGUCUGCCCGAGACUACAAUUUAAAGACUAUACCACUGCUUUUUAGGUUAUAGGAAAUUUUAGAGGUUGAGAAUUUACAAUCACCUUAUCGUAAUUAUAGAUUCUGAUCUUUAAUUUCAACGGGGGAUUAGCUCAGCUGGCUAGAGCGCUUGAUUUGCAUUCAAGAGGUCAUCGGUUCGACUCCGAUAUUCUCCACAAGGUAUUAGACUUUAUUUAAUAGAGAUAUAAUACAAAACGUUCAUUGACAUAUUGAAGAUACAAACGUAUCAAAUCAUAUUUAGUUAUAGUGAUAUAAUUAGAUAUUGGUUUAUACGAGCAAAUAAUAGUAAAAUUUAGAGCAAAUUAAUUAAAUAAGAAUUGUACAAGUUAC